CGCUCAGAUUGAACGCUGGCGGCAUGCCUUACACAUGCAAGUCGAACGGUAACAGGUUAAGCUGACGAGUGGCGAACGGGUGAGUAAUGUAUCGGAACGUGCCUAGUCGUGGGGGAUAACGUAGCGAAAGCUACGCUAAUACCGCAUACGAUCCAUGGAUGAAAGCGGGGGACCUUCGGGCCUCGCGCGAUUAGAGCGGCCGAUAUCAGAUUAGGUAGUUGGUGGGGUAAAGGCCCACCAAGCCAACGAUCUGUAGCUGGUCUGAGAGGACGACCAGCCACACUGGAACUGAGACACGGUCCAGACUCCUACGGGAGGCAGCAGUAGGGAAUAUUGGGCAAUGGACGCAAGUCUGACCCAGCCAUGCCGCGUGCAGGAUGAAGGCGUUAUGCGUUGUAAACUGCUUUUAUACAGGAAGAAACGACCCUUGCGAGAGGCAUUGACGGUACUGUAUGAAUAAGCACCGGCUAACUCCGUG
rnacentral:rRNA from 1 species